AGCUUUGCACAGUGGCAGUAUUGUAGCCAGUGAGGUUUAUCUGAGGCGUGAUUAUGGCUGAUUGAAAACUUACCUGCCAUUAUUACUGGUGUCUCUUUUCUGAUUUACUUUUGGCUAAGUUUAGGAAUGGUUGCCAACACCUCUGUU